UACGUAGGGUGCAAGCGUUGUCCGGAAUCAUUGGGCGUAAAGCGUUCGUAGGCUGUUUAGUAAGUCGAAUGUUAAAUACUGGAGCUCAACUCCAGCAUGGCAUUCGAUACUGCUAGGCUAGAGUUUGGUAGAGGUAAGGGGAAUUCCUGGUGUAGCGGUGAAAUGCGUAGAUAUCAGGAGGAACACCGGUGGCGAAAGCGCCUUACUGGGCCAUAACUGACGCUGAGGGACGAAAGCUAGGGUAGCGAAAGGG
rnacentral:rRNA from 1 species